UACAGAGGUCUCAAGCGUUGCUCGGAUUCAUUGGGCGUAAAGGGUGCGUAGGCGGCGCGGUAAGUCGGGUGUGAAAUCUCGGAGCUUAACUCCGAAACUGCAUUCGAUACUGCCGUGCUAGAGGACUGGAGAGGAGACUGGAAUUUACGGUGUAGCAGUGAAAUGCGUAGAUAUCGUAAGGAAGACCAGUGGCGAAGGCGGGUCUCUGGACAGUUCCUGACGCUGAGGCACGAAGGUCAGGGGAGCAAACGGG
rnacentral:rRNA from 1 species